UACGUAGGGCGCAAGCGUUGUCCGGAAUUAUUGGGCGUAAAGAGCUCGUAGGUGGCUUGUCACGUCGGGUGUGAAAGCUUGGGGCUUAACUCCAGGUCUGCAUUCGAUACGGGCUGGCUAGAGGUAGGUAGGGGAGAACGGAAUUCCUGGUGUAGCGGUGAAAUGCGCAGAUAUCAGGAGGAACACCGGGUGGCGAAGGCGGUUCUCUGGGCCUUACCUGACGCUGAGGAGCGAAAGCGUGGAGAGCGAACAGG
rnacentral:rRNA from 1 species